ACUGCUGACACCUUAGCAUGCCGGCAGAACCAUGGCUCCUGCUCUUUUAUUGCAUGCCCUGCUCCUUCCGUUGACAUUGGAACCUGCCGUGAUGGGAAGCUGAAAUGCUGCAGAUGGAGACCCAGCUCCUAAAUCUGAGACCUCACCGACCACAUGGAUAAGAGCCCUGGGAAUCUCCUGCCUUAUGACAUCACAGGAUCUUUGAACUUUGAUGCAAACCCAAGGAGCCUUUCCCAAUGGAGUGAAGAGUCCCGGGAGCACGAGAAGAUCUGAGGAGGAAUUCUUGUACCUCAGAUAGAGAUUUGCAGCUUCAUUUCUAAUAAAAACAAUUCCAAGUGAAACCACA